rnacentral:rRNA from 1 species
GCCUAACACAUGCAAGUCGAACGACAAAGUGGAGCAAUCCAUGAGUAGAGUGGCGUACGGGUGAGUAACACGUGGCUAACCUUCCUUCGAGUGGGGAAUAACCUCGGGAAUCCAGGGCUAAUACCGCAUAACAUCUCCGGGUGAAACUCCCGUUGAUCAAAGGGGUAAGACGCUUGAAGAGGGGGUCGCGGCUGAUUAGUUAGUUGGCGGGGUAAUGGCCCACCAAGACGAUGAUCAGUAUCCGGCCUGAGAGGGCGCACGGACACAUUGGGACUGAAACACGGCCCAAACUCCUACGGGAGGCAGCAGUGGGGAAUUUUGCGCAAUGGGGGAAACCCUGACGCAGCAACGCCGCGUGGAGGAUUAAGUCCCUUGGGAUGUGAGCUCCUUUCGACAGGGAAGAAACUGACGGUACCUGUAGAAGAAGCCCCGGCUAACUUCGUGCCAGCAGCCGCGGUAAUACGAGGGGGGCAAGCGUUGUUCGGAAUUAUUGGGCGUAAAGGGUGCGUACGCUGUGCGGUAAGUCAUCUGUGAAAACUCUGGGCUCAACCCAGAGCCUGCAGGCGAUACUGCCGUGCUGGAGUAUGUGAGACGUGCGUGCAAUUCCUGUUGUAGCCGCGAAAUGCGUCGAUAUCGUGAGGAACAUCUGUCGCGAAAGCCGCGCAGUGGACUAUUACUGACGCUGAUGCGCGAGAGCUAGUGGAGCAAACAGGAUUAGAUACCUCGUAGUCCUAGCCCUCAUACGAUGGAUGCUUGGUGUUGCCGGUACUCCAAUCCGGCAGUGCCGUAGCUAACGCUUUAAGCAUCCCGCCUGGGGAGUACGGUCGCAAGGCUGAAACUCAAAGGAAUUGACGGGGGCCCGCACAAGCGGUGGAGCAUGUGGUUCAAUUCGACGCAACGCGAAGAACCUUACCUGGGCUCGAAAUGUAGUGGAAUACGGUGGAAACAUCGUAGGCUCGCAAGAGACUGCUAUAUAGGUGCUGCAUGGCUGUCGUCAGCUCGUGUCGUGAGAUGUUGGGUUAAGUCCCGCAACGAGCGCAACCCUUAUUGCCAGUUGCCAUCGGGUCAAGCCGGGCACUCUGGCGAAACUGCCUCGGAUAACGGGGAGGAAGGUGGGGAUGACGUCAAGUCCUCAUGGCCUUUAUGUCCAGGGCUACACACGUGCUACAAUGGUCGGUACAAACCGUUGCAAACCCGCGAGGGGGAGCUAAUCGGAAAAAGCCGGCCUCAGUUCGGAUUGGAGUCUGCAACUCGACUCCAUGAAGCUGGAAUCGCUAGUAAUCGCAGAUCAGAACGCUGCGGUGAAUACGUUCCCGGGCCUUGUACACACCGCCCGUCACAUCACGAAAGUGGGCUGCACUAGAAGCCGGUGUGCCAACCGCAAGGAGGCGGCCGUCCAAGGUAUGGCUCAUGAUUGGGGUGAAGUCGUAACAAGGUAGCCGUAGGAGAACUUGCGGCUGGAUCACCUCCU